rnacentral:rRNA from 1 species
UACGUAGGUGACGAGCGUUGUCCGGAUUUACUGGGCGUAAAGAGCGCGCAGGCGGUCGUUCAAGUCGAGUGUGAAAGCCCCCGGCUCAACUGGGGAGGGUCACUCGAUACUGAUCGACUCGAAGGCAGGAGAGGGUAGUGGAAUUCCCGGUGUAGUGGUGAAAUGCGUAGAUAUCGGGAAGGAACACCAGUGGCGAAGGCGACUACCUGGCCUGUUCUUGACGCUGAGGCGCGAAAGCUAGGGGAGCAAACAGGG